AAAACUUUAAGUUAAAUAAAACUAAUAGCCUUCAAAGUUAUAAAUAUGAGAAAUCCUUUUAAGUUUUA
rnacentral:tRNA from 1 species